GAUGAGAGAGGAGAGGAUGGGAGGGAGGAGUAACAAAAGUAAAAACAAAAACUUGAAAGUGAAAACAAUUUAAAAUAGAUUUCAGUUUUUAAUUUUUGUCUUCACUUUUGUUACUCCUCCCUCCCAUCCUUCACUCUCAUAUUC
rnacentral:miRNA from 1 species